GAGCCGGGCGGAGAAGCAGAGGAGAGGGACGCGGGAAGCAUGUUUGACCUGGGACUGAAAUCUGGAGAGCUUGGCUACCUUCAUCCUCCUCAGGCCAGAACAGGCUUCCUGAGACAGCCCAGGUCGUAGGAGUUUUACGAGUUAAAAAGCGGGCUGCAGACCCCUGCCUGGGUGUUUGGUUCAAGCCUUGGCUCUGGCCUCUGUCUUCCCGGGAGUUCGUGAGAUUCGGACCUUAGAUUGUUAGUAUUAUUUUGAGGGCCUCCUGUGUGUAAGCACAGGUUGUGCGCAGAUGGCUGUGCAGAGCGCCAUGAGGUAGAGGCUGGGGGAAUGAGGGCUUGGAGGUGCUUGAGGUAUGGUCUUUACCUACGUGAAAUGUUGGAGGUUGAGAUGAAAAAUCUUGCUUUGGAUUCUUCACGGAGGACUACAUCAUUUCAACCCUGAAUCUGGCUCAAUUCUAUUAUUCACUUAUUACUGCAUUUAAAACGUUUUAUUGGCUGGGUGCAGUGGCUCAUGCCUGUAAUCCCAGCACUUUGGGAGGCCAAGGCGGGUGGAUCACUUGAGGUCAGGAGUUCAACACCAGCCGGGCCAACAUGGCAAAACCCUGCCUCUACUAAAAAUACAAAAAUCAUCUGGGUGUGGUGGCGUGCACCUGUAAUCACAGCUACUUGGGAGACUGAGGUGGCAGAAUUGUUUGAAACCAGGAGGUGGAGGUUGCAGUGAGCCGAGAUCACGCCACUGCACUCAAGCCGUGGCAACAGAGUGAGACUCUGUCUCAGUAAAAAAAAUAAAAAAAAAAAAUGUUUAAUUAACCAUGAUAUUUGCUUUAGUAAAACCUUUGAGGUUUAACAAGAAUUUUAAAAUCCAUUACACUUUUCUUAUGGCAUAUAAAAGUUUAAAUUUUUUUUUAUUGUCUCAGCUAACAUCAUAAAUGCCUUAAUGUUAAAAUCCAUGGAAUAUUCUAUUUAAAGUUUUAGCUUUAUCACCUCUGUGCUAUCAGAGAAUGCUUUGAAUUGGUAAAAUGAGUUAAAAGUAUUGGAAAACACCUGUGUCAGCAGAGGCUCUCAAAAAUCAUUUUCAUCCUUCCUCGUCUAGUGAUGACUUUUUUUUUUUAAACCAUGUUUUCACCAGCCUGCCAAUCCAAUGGCAUAGAUGCUCCUACAUAGGCAACUUAAAUGUUUCUUAAGUUGAUGCAAGGUAUUUUGCAUGAGGCUGAAUUCUUAUUGUUGGAGCAGAGGAUUUUUGUUCCAACAACUGAAUUGGCAAAAUGUCAAUAUAAAAAUAUCUCAAAAAGUCAA